ensembl:lncRNA
AUCUAGUUCUUCUCAGUUCAUAAUGAUUGAUUUCAGGAUAAAAGCAACAUUCUUGUAGUUUAUUUAUCCUUAAGUAAUGGAUGGGUAAUUUCAACUAUAACAUGCUUCUAAUGAAACUUUUUGCAUGGAUUUUGCAGUGUUUUCUUCUGAGAUGAAGUGUUCUAGCACAAGUUUCAGACAAUAAGUAUUCAACGAUUAUGGUAAUACUGGAGAUAUUUUUAUAUUUAUGGUAGAUGCACUUUAGUAAGAAUUUUUCAAGGCUGAGCUAUGUGCAAUAGGACCUGCUAGAAAGAGCCAUUGAAAGCUGCCAAGAUGUUAAAGAAUAUACAUAGGCAAAGAAAACUGGCAUCCUGGAACUGUCCAUCAAGCAUUGGUGCUUUUCUGUCUUCAUCUGAAUCCUUCUGGAGAUUGUAAGGUAAAUCUGACAAGUUCAGAGUAUUUCUGUCUUCCUUGCAAGGUCAUCUCUCCAUUUAAAUCACUGUUUUUCUCCUGCUGUCCUCUUUGAAGGGCAGCAUUACAUGCCUACUAUUUGGAUCAUAGUCAUUCUGAAUACAGUAAUGUGUAAAAUACCACUCUCUUUGAACAAAAUGAAAUAAUCCUGUCCUUAAAUGUAUGGCCAGAUAUACAGCCUUAAUUAUUAAUUUUUAUUUUCUAACUUUUACAUAGCCAAUUGUCUUAACUCUUCUCAGUGACUCCUUCUCUAAUGCAAAUCUAAAUAUUUCUUGUCAGCUUUGCUAUUUCAUUUUCCAGCAUGCUGAUUAAUGGCAUUCCUUGGCUAAUGUCAUCACUUUUCUCUCAGGAUCAUCAGAUGACCUCAGGAUGUCACACCAAGAUGUUAUUAGUAUUCUCUCUGUCAGUACUGGGUACAGGGUAGCUGAAGUUUUCAGUUAGUGCUUGAGAGCUAUUGUACAACCAAAAGAGUGGGGUAAGGACAGCACUGCCACCUUUCCUGACAGAAACUCCUGUGUUACAAAGAGAGAAAAGAGGCAACUGAAGAGGGGCCAGACCUCUUUUCGACAUUUUCCUAUAGCCUUCUUAGGCGAUCCCCUGAACACAGUGCAAUUAUUGCUGUGGUCUAAAUCCCCAAGUUUCUGUAUCUCAAAGGGAGCCUUGUCAGCUACAUUGCCAUUGCUGGUAACAUGGCAACUAAAGCUGCAGGAAGUACUGGAUACUGACUAAACUUUGAAACAAAUUCACUGUGAAUAACCUUCCAAAUGUUCUAUAUACUAGCACAAUUAAAAAAUAUGUUAAUGCUUUUUCCCCUUAGUAAUUUUAGAGUUUUCCACCCAAUUUUCAACUUAUUUUGUGUAGAAGUGGUGUGGUAAGACAGAUUUUUAAAAGUACAAACAAAUCUACUGCUUAUAUAUUAAUCACAGCUUUUUUAAAAUCCUGUGUGUGAUUUUACUGUAACAAAAACAUCUCUGUGUUAUCGUGACUAUUUUUGGUAACAAAUCCCAAACACAGCAUCAUCCAAGCUUCCACAAAGAAAAUGAACCCUAUGCUAGCCAAAACCAGGACUUAGUUGCUGAGGAGCAGUGCUUGCACAGAGACAAUGACUUCUCUGCUCCUUGUGCUGUCCUGUCAGUGAGGAACUACGGUGCACAAGGAGCUGGGAGAGGACACAUCCAGGGAAGCUGACCCAGACUGGACAAAGAAUAUCCUGUAUCACACAGCAUCAUGCUCAGGAAAAAAGGACUGGAGUAAGGAAAGAGGCCUUGGAGGGGGUGUUUGGAGUGCUGACAUUUGUCUUCCUGAGUCUGAAUGAAUUUAUCCCUCUACCUUACUCAGAUUCAAUGGCGUUAGUCCAGAAGAGAAGUUUAUGAAGCAAUUAAAAUUUGAAACAAAUAAAAAACGCUUAUUACAUAUCCUAUUUAUUCCC